UACUAGUUUUCUUAUUUCGACGAAUGAUAAAAUCCAAAAGAGGUGUAUUAAUAGCAGUGUUAUAAUUCUUUUUUAAAUUUUAAUUUGAUGCUUUUCCAAAUUGUUAAAUUUUUAUUUGGGUCAAUCCAUUAUAUUGUGACGAAGUAAUUCGUCACAAGGCAAUUUUUGACUGGGGUUGGGUUUCACGCGUUUUGGGGAUUUGGAGCAGAGACAACGCAGGAGUCCAGGAGGUGGCGCCAUCGCGGCGGCCACUCAUGGAACGAGGCGUAGACGAAGGGAUCGAGAGAGAGAAUCAUUAGAUUUUGUCAAUGGACGCGAUAGCGAGUACAGGGGUACUGUAGUGUGUCCACGUUUGAGUUUUCGAGUACUAUUGUGUGUUUUCAGAGGAAAAUUGUAGUGUGUUGAGAGGGAGUCGAAACUGAGUUCGACUCAAAUAAAAUAGAAAAGAAGUGUUAAUUAGUGUUUUAUUUAUCAGCCCUUUUUCUCGACACCGGCGAGUCUCAUCGACCACGAGGACCUGCCGAGAGGAAGCUGGUGCUGAUAUUUGAUCGUCGUGGAUUCGAGGAGGAAUUUCGACAAGGGUAAUAUGAGACAAAGGGAACGAGAUCAACGACAGAGGCUUCGUCGACGGAGAGACAGAAUGUUUUCGACUUGGAUUUGGUGUUGUGGUUAGGCGUUACUGCUGGGAGUAGUAACGGCCUAGGGGAGGGGUGUUUGUGACGAAGUAAUUCGUCACAAGGCAAUUUUUGACUGGGGUUGGGUUUCACGCGUUUUGGGGAUUUGGAGCAGAGACAACGCAGGAGUCCAGGAGGUGGCGCCAUCGCGGCGGCCACUCAUGGAACGAGGCGUAGACGAAGGGAUCGAGAGAGAGAAUCAUUAGAUUUUGUCAAUGGACGCGAUAGCGAGUACAGGGGUACUGUAGUGUGUCCACGUUUGAGUUUUCGAGUACUAUUGUGUGUUUUCAGAGGAAAAUUGUAGUGUGUUGAGAGGGAGUCGAAACUGAGUUCGACUCAAAUAAAAUAGAAAAGAAGUGUUAA